rnacentral:rRNA from 1 species
CCUACGGGAGGCAGCAGUGGGGAAUAUUGGACAAUGGGCGCAAGCCUGAUCCAGCCAUGCCGCGUGAGUGAUGAAGGCCUUAGGGUUGUAAAGCUCUUUUGUCCGGGACGCGGUACCGGAAGAAUAAGCCCCGGCUAACUUCGUGCCAGCAGCCGCGGUAAUACGAAGGGGGCUAGCGUUGCUCGGAAUCACUGGGCGUAAAGGGCGCGUAGGCGGCCAUUCAAGUCGGGGGUGAAAGCCUGUGGCUCAACCACAGAAUUGCCUUCGAUACUGUUUGGCUUGAGUCUGGUAGAGGUUGGUGGAACUGCGAGUGUAGAGGUGAAAUUCGUAGAUAUUCGCAAGAACACCGGUGGCGAAGGCGGCCAACUGGACAGACUGACGCUGAGGCGCGAAAGCGUGGGGAGCAAACAGGAUUAGAUACCCUUGUAGUC